GUAGCUCAGUGGUAGAGUGCUUGCCUUGCAUGCACGAGGCCCUGGGUUCGAUUCCUCAGC
rfam:Dipodomys ordii contig_9159, whole genome shotgun sequence.